UCGGACAUGGUGUACGGUACACACCCUCGCCUAUUGCAGGCUUGGUCGCAGGAUGCGGAAGGGAAUCCGGGGUUCGACUCCCCGUGUCCGAA